rnacentral:rRNA from 1 species
GACGAACGCUGGCGGCGUGCCUAAUACAUGCAAGUCGAGCGAGGCCCAUCCGGUGGCAACACCGGGGAAGGCCGAGCGGCGAACGGGUGAGUAACACGUGAGCAACCUGCCCCGAAGUCUGGAAUAACAUCGGGAAACCGGUGCUAAUACCGGAUCGCCCCACCUGACCGCAUGAUCGGGUGAGGAAAGAUUUAUCGCUUCGGGAGGGGCUCGCGGCCUAUCAGCUAGUUGGUGGGGUAACGGCCUACCAAGGCGUCGACGGGUAGCUGGUCUGAGAGGACGACCAGCCACACUGGGACUGAGACACGGCCCAGACUCCUACGGGAGGCAGCAGUAGGGAAUCUUGCGCAAUGGGCGGAAGCCUGACGCAGCAACGCCGCGUGGGGAGUGACGGCC